AACCACAAACAAGUUUCAAAUGCCUUGAAAUACGCGUACUUUGAUUGCCAACAUAUUUAUUGCUUUUCAAUCUACCUAAUUCAGAUUUGAUUGGUUUUGUGGUAUUUUCAGCAGUGUGGUUUUAGCCAAUCAACUUAGCAAACACUUUGAAUUAAUAAUAGACAUUAAUUUUUAUCGCUCCAUUUACGGCUUAUUUGGGUUCUUAGAAUAAAAUGAUUUUGGCGGUUAUUUAAUUCAGUUACUACACAAAUAAGGAGAAUUUAUUUUAUUUAUUUAAAAAAUAUACAAAAGUGUUAAGCUCUACAUAAGCAGUUGGCUGUUCAAAAACAAUAUCUUAUGAAGAAUCUGAUCCCAUUGAUUAACAGACUCAUUUAUUUAAUUACCGGGGCAAUUAUUUUCAAUCAAGAUAUAUUCAAGUUUUCUUUCUGCUCAUCAGCUGUAGUCUAACAAUUUUAGUCAGAUUCACAUGCUUCCUAAGUCCAUAUAUUUAUAGAUAUAUGUAUUUUUUGUUUUAGCUUUUGCUGUUCAUUGAUGUGAGACGGUAAUGUCUACCGCCCAUCGAAGGUCGAACAGUAACAGCAAAAUACUUGAGGGCGGCAAAUGAGAUACAAAGUUGCAUGUUUUUUCAGCACCAUUAUUAUUUAUACAUUUUCGACAAAACAAUUAUUUUCGUUGUUGAGUGGGGAUUUAAUAUGAAUAGGAAGGGAAAAAACUCCUGGGUCAAGAUAUUUAUCUUUUAACGAUUGGUUUCUCAGCAACAGCAAACUUUAAUUUAUUUUGCUCAUGACUGCCUUUGUUUACUAUUUAGUUUUAUUUAACAUAAAAUAUUUCAAGGCGUGUUGAUAUUUGUUAAACUCGCUUUGACAGCAUUCAAAAUUUGCAAUCGGUUUAUGCUUUUGACGCUUUCGGUUUUCCACUUAUUUUAAAAAAUUAUUUCACACAAAUUUAUUUGUGCCCUGAAGUCAUGUCCGCAUUCGUUUAAUUUUCGGUAAAUCUUUUCAAAGAGCUAGCAAAAUUCUGCGUCUCAGAAAAUGGCAAACAAAUGUUUGCCGUGACGCCUGAAUGGCCACAGCCUUGAAUAUAAAUCACAAAAAAAAAAUAUAUAUAUAAAUAUAGCUAAUCGGGGCUCGGCACGAUACGGCAAUAGCCACAGCAGCCGUGUAGAAGGUUCGAACCAAUAUUAAGUAAUUUUAUUAUGAGAGGCAGAGGCCUCAAAAGUAAGUGUAUUAAAAUAAAUUACAGCGGCUGCCAACUAAUUGAAUUCAGCGCAGCCUCCUGCUAGGUCACGAAGGAAGAGAGACAUCACUUUCAACACCUCGAAGGGCUCAGUCCCAGACCUGGUAUCUUUAUACAUGCACUCGCAUAUAUAUAUAUUGUAAAGUUCGCUGAACAUAAUCAUUAAGCGCAAUUUACCUACAAAGUCGCAUGCCGCCAACAUGGCCCGUGCAAAAUUAUUAUUACCAUACGCCCCGGCAGCAACUGCAGCCUGAACCCGAGGCACAGACACAACAAAGGGUAUACUAUUCCAAUCCAUUCCAUACCAUAUCGUAUCGGUUCGGGAUCGGGGCAACGGGCCACCAGGCAAGCGAAACGAAAGACUCGAGGCACGAACUUGACGUGCUCAAAUCCAAAGUGUGGCAAAUCAGCUGGCUUAAAUCGACCUGCAUGCCCGCAAAUACAACUAAACAAAUAAAUACUUAACAUCGGCGCAACAACGGGGGAGAAAAAUACACGAUAUUCGAAAUAUAAAUCGUGUGGCUUACAUGGAGACAAGCCAAGUGAAAGCUGUUGGGCUGGGCUCUUUACGAAACUGUCUGUAGUCCGGGUUUUUACUUCUUCGCCACAUUUCUGUUUUCUUGAGCACAUAACAGGCAACUGUCAAUAAAUAAUCAAAAUAAACCCGAACCGCAAGUCGAAAUCAUUUGCUAAGUGACUAUUUUUGGUAACUUGUCGCUUGUAAAAAUAUUUCAAAGGAAGUCCACGCGUUUCACAGCCAAAUGCAGUGGGUAUCUCAAGUAUUUCAUGAAUUUGUGAAAUGGUUUGGUGGCUGAAAAGUGAUGCAAUAAUUUGGCUAAGUACAACGCCCAAAAUGCAAUUGAUAUGACUUUGCCAGUUGUGUACAGUCUGCGCCCAAUAAUGCAAUAUUUUAUUACUCCAAGAAAUAGAUUAAGGAGUUCACAGCUUAAUGAUAUGCAUCUGGUCUUAGGGCUAGCGCGAAAACAAAUUAAAUUAAUUCCCUAGCAAUAAAAUUGCCUCGACUUAGUUGAGGGUCCAAUAAAAAAUUUACUGCUGUGGACUACCCUAACAUUAAAACUUUGUCCCAGGCUGUAAAUAUUUUACAGCCAAACUCCCUUUUUCAAGAGCAGUGUUCUUGGGCUCCUCAUUUCAAUGCAAGUUUGCUUUCUCACAGGAAUUUUUAUGUCACCUUAAGUGUUUCUACUUCAACACAAAGCGUCAUGAGAUCAUCAAAUUUAUUCCGCUCGCAUCAUGGCAAUCGGAUCUUAACUGCCCGAUCUGAGCCCAUUCACGUUUUCGAGGAGCUGCGAAACAUAUGUAAAAUACACAAUCCUAUUAAAAGCUUUCGAUAAGUUGGCGAUGCGAACAGUACAAAAAAUAAUAUACGAAAAAUAAUACGGAUACAUUUUGUUAAUGGAAAAUGAAUGGCAGUCCAACUCGCACUCCCGCGGCCUAAGAAUCUUUCAUUGUGCGUGUCUUUGAACUUUCGCUUGGAUCGAUUUCGGCGAAAUUCGUGCAAUUCAUCAUGGCCAAAUUAUGUGUGAGAGGGUCCAGAAUGCCGAAAGGGCAACGGGCAAUAAGCAUUAAUCAUCGGCCAGCCAAAGCAAACUAUUAAAGCAGCUUAAACAGCCCCAGCGAACCUGACCGGACCAGCCCGAUUCGAUCGCAUCGUUGCUAGGUAACUUAUGCAACAAUUAAGUUUUAUGCUUUCCAUAAAUAUCCAAGCAGGCAGUCCAGUGACCAGUGUCCAGCUGGAGCCACUGGCUUCCUCACCCGCCGUUUUCUGUCUCAUCGCAUCGAUUAAACUAAUUAAAUUGUCAUAAAGUUUGUCCCUGCCUCCCAGAGGAAAGUUCUUUCAACAA